GAACAAUUGAGAUAACUCACUACCUUCUGACCAGCCCAAGGCUCUCUUUUUAUCUGGGACCAGCCCAAGGCUCUCUUUUUAUCUGGGAAGAAAAUCUUUUCUAGCAACUUCCCAGACAAGGAACAGAACCAGUUCGUGUGUCCACAUGUCCGUUGCUACACCCAUAUCUACAAAGGAGAAGGGAGUGCUCUGACUGGGGCUGGGGCAGGGACCUAUCCACCCCUGAAUCUGUUCUGCUUCCCAAAGACACUGGAGUUCUAUCAGCCUAGAAGCAGGGAUUACAUGGCUUUUGGAUACUGACUGAUACAUGGGACAUCAAGUAGAGUCAUCAGAUGAUACUGCCUCAGUGGUGAGAGCAAAUUAGCCUUAGACCAAAGGCUAUUCUCCUCUUGCCAAAUGGUACCUAAAAGCACACCUUAAAAGGAUCAAUCUGUUUCCAAGGAACUUAACUAAGUCCCUGAACGAGGCUCAAAUAUAUUCAAAGGAAUACAAAAAAAUCUAGCACCAAACAACAUAAAAUAUACAAUGUCUGGCAUCCAAUCAAUAAUUACCAGGCAUGCAAAGACACAGGCAAAUAAUGACACAAAGCUGACCCAGAAAUGUCACAGAAUUAGUAGACAAGGACUUUAGCUCCAAUAGCUAUUAUUAAAUACCAUCCAUAUAUUCAAACAGAUAUGGAAAAACAUAAACACGAUGUAAAGAGGUGUGAAGAUAUAAAAUAAGACCUCAAUUGAACUUCUAAAGAUGAAAUGUAUAAUAUCUGAGAUGAAAAGUAUACUGGAUGGAAAUAAAAGCAGAUUAGACCCUGUAGAAAACAGGUUUUUGAAGACUUAGCAAUAGAAACUAUCCAAGAUGAAACACAGAGAGGAAAAAAAGACUUAAAAACAAAAAACAAAAAACAAAAACAAAACCUCCAAAACCAAAAUCCAGAAAAUCAGUGAGCUGUGGAAUAACAAGUAGCCUGUAUACCUGUUUGGAGACCAGAAACGUGGGUCUAACAGAUUCACAGGAGAGAUGACAGAAAAAAUAUCUGAAGGAACAAUAAUUUUCAAAUUUGAUGGAAACUAUAAAUCCCUAUGUCGAAGAAGCUCAAUAAACCCUAAGCAGAAGAAAUAUGAAGACAACUACACCAAGGGUACAUCAUAAUCUGCCUUAAUCACUGCUGAACACCAGUGAUAAAGACACAAAUCUUAAGAGCUGCCAGAGGAAAAAAACACAUUGUGUAAAAAGGAAAAAUAGAAGUGAUUUCUCGUCAGAAACAAUGCAACCCUGAAGACAGUGGAGUAAUGUCUUUAAAGUACGAAAAGAUAAAAACUGUCAACCUAGAAUUCAGUGGAGAUAUCUUUCAAAUAGGAAGAUGGAAUAAAGAUGCAUUCAGACAUUCCAAAAUUGAAAGAAUUCAUCAUCAGUAGACCUGCACUAGAAGAACGGCUUUAAAAAGUCCUUCAAGCAGAAGAAAAAUGAUACCAGAUGGAAAUCUCCGUCUACACAAAGGAAUGAAGAGAGCUGGAAAUGGUUCUCAAAUCCCCUGAAAUCCAUAGACUCCAGUCAAGAACCUCAAUUACAGCAUGGAAGGGGAAGAAAAGGUGGAAACCAUAAUUGAUGGAGCCUUUAACUCCCUGCGUCAUUUAAU
rnacentral:lncRNA from 1 species